rnacentral:lncRNA from 1 species
AGGGCGAUUUUGGGGUCAAUGGGAUUUGGGGUGAAAAAGGGGAUUUUGGGUGGGGGUUUUGGGGUCAAAAAGUGGGAUUUUGGGGUCAAUGGGAUUUUGGGGUGAAAAUGGGGGAUUUUGGGGUCAAGAAUGGGGAGAUUUGGGGUGAAAAAGGGGGAUUUUGGGGUCAGAAAUGGGGAUUUUUGAGGGGGAUUUUGGGUUGAAAAAGGGGGAUUUUGGGGUCAAUGGGAUUUUGGGGUGAAAAAGGGGAUUUUGGGGUCAAUGGGGUUUUGGGGGUGAAAAAGGGCCAUUUCUGGGUCAAGAAUGCGGUAGAUUUUGGGGUGAAAAGGGGAUUUUGGGGUCAGAAAAGGGGAUUUGGGUG